CUUUCACCUUAAUGGGUAAAUGCUUAGUAACAUGUUAGUCUGCUAAUAACUCUAAUAAGUAAUACAUACAAUUAUUUAUUUUCUUUACAAAUAUUAUAAUGAUGUGCUAACAUUAAGCAUUUAUCUUAUCGAAUAUGUUGUUAAAGUUUAUUUUAAAAUCCUAAUUUGUUUUAUAAUAAUUUAUAAGUACAGACUUAUUGUAUCAGCUUGCACAAUUAAAUGUCAAAAGCAUUGUACAGAUGUAGUGUCUAAUUAUUUUCCAUAGUGUUGUGAAUAACGCUCACUUCGAGACUUAAAGACUCGAACCCUUAAGACUCUCGAGGCUUAACGCUUCAAGGGCAGCAAAGACGAUUUCUUACAUCCAUACGCGUAAAAUAAAAAAAUAUAUAGUCGAGUCUUCAAGACUUACGAGUCUUGAGUAGUGAUCCAAAGGACUCGAGCCUUUUAGCUCUUUUUUUAGGGCUCGCCUCAUUUCUUGACGCCUAAAAGGCUAAAAGCCUAUUUAGCUCUUUAGCCCCUGAGCCUAGUUCUAUUUAAGAUCCUAGACUCUUGGAGCUAAGAACCUUAUUAAGGCUUGGGGCUAAAGAGCUAAAUAGGCUUUUUUUAGGGGCUUAAUAAGGUUAUUAGCCCCAAGAGCUUUUAGCCUUUUAGGCGUCAAGAGAUGAGGUGAGCCCUAAAAAAUAGAGCUCCAAAGGCUCGAGUCUUUUGGAUCACUAGUCUUGAGGGCUCGAGUUUUUAAGCCUAAAAAUAAGCGUUAUUCACAACACUAAUUUUCCAUCGUAUUUUCACGGAAACGUACGAACGAACGUAACUAACUAUUUCAGUCAGUCUCGGUACAAAAAGUACUGAUGUGAGUUUGAUUGUUUUGUUUGACAAAUACGAACGUUUCCGAGAAAAUACCGAUGGCAAAGGAUUGCUCACAUCUGUAAUUACGUAUUUACAGAAAAGUAAUUUAUAGAAUUUGAUCUUUUGGAGUUUAAAACGUAUUUAGAUUGUUAGAUGAGGUGGUUUUGAAGUAUUUUCUAAUUCUACUACAUUCCUAUUUAUAGAUAAAAUGGUUCACUGUGUAAAAGAAACUUAUUUAUAAUUGAAAAUAAAUUUAAUUCUUGAA